rnacentral:rRNA from 1 species
AACGAACGCUGGCGGCAUGCCUUACACACGCAAGUCGAACGGCAGCACGGGGCAACCUGGUGGCGAGUGGCGAACGGGUGAGUAAUGCAUCGGAACGUACCUUUCAGUGGGGGAUAACGUAGCGAAAGUUACGCUAAUACCGCAUAUUCUGUGAGCAGGAAAGCAGGGGAUCGCAAGACCUUGCGCUGAUUGAGCGGCCGAUGUCAGAUUAGCUAGUUGGUGAGGUAAAGGCUCACCAAGGCGACGAUCUGUAGCGGGUCUGAGAGGAUGAUCCGCCACACUGGAACUGAGACACGGUCCAGACUCCGACGGGAGGCAGCAGUGGGGAAUUUUGGACAAUGGGGGCAACCCUGAUCCAGCCAUGCCGCGUGAGUGAAGAAGGCCUUCGGGUUGUAAAGCUCUUUCGGCCGGGAAGAAAUCGCACGGGCUAAUACCCUGUGUGGAUGACGGUACCGGAAUAAGAAGCACCGGCUAACUACGUGCCAGCAGCCGCAGUAAAAC